rnacentral:rRNA from 1 species
UGGGGAAUAUUGCACAAUGGGCGCAAGCCUGAUGCAGCCAUGCCGCGUGUGUGAAGAAGGCCUUCGGGUUGUAAAGCACUUUCAGCGGGGAGGAAGGCGAUAAGGUUAAUAACCUUGUCGAUUGACGUUACCCGCAGAAGAAGCACCGGCUAACUCCGUGCCAGCAGCCGCGGUAAUACGGAGGGUGCAAGCGUUAAUCGGAAUUACUGGGCGUAAAGCGCACGCAGGCGGUUUGUUAAGUCGGAUGUGAAAUCCCCGGGCUCAACCUGGGAACUGCAUCUGAUACUGGCAAGCUUGAGUCUCGUAGAGGGGGGUAGAAUUCCAGGUGUAGCGGUGAAAUGCGUAGAGAUCUGGAGGAAUACCGGUGGCGAAGGCGGCCCCCUGGACGAAGACUGACGCUCAGGUGCGAAAGCGUGGGGAGCAAACAGG